rnacentral:rRNA from 1 species
GACGUAGGGCGCGAGCGUUGUCCGGAUUUAUUGGGCGUAAAGAGCUCGUAGGCGGCUUGUCGCGUCGUUCGUGAAAACCUGCAGCUCAACUGCAGGCUUGCGGUCGAUACGGGCAGGCUAGAGUUCGGUAGGGGAGACUGGAAUUCCUGGUGUAGCGGUGAAAUGCGCAGAUAUCAUGAGGAAUACCAGAGGCGAAGGCGACUACCUGG